rnacentral:rRNA from 1 species
AUUGAACGCUGGCGGCAGGCCUAACACAUGCAAGUCGAACGAGUGGCGGACGGGUGAGUAAUGGCUGGGAAACUGCCUGACGGAGGGGGAUAACUACUGGAAAAGGUAGCUAAUACCGCAUACCAUCGGAUGUGCCCAGAUGGGAUUAUCUAGUAGGUGGGGUCACGGCUCACCCAGGGGACGAUCCCUAGCUGGUCUGAGAGGAUGACCGGCCACACUGGAACUGAGACACGGUCCAUACUCCUACGGGAGGCAGCAGUAGGGAAUCUUGCACAAUGGGCGCAAGCCUGAUGCAGCCAUGCCGCGUGUGUGAAGAAGGCCUUCGGGUUGUAAAGUUCUUUCGGCGGGGAGGCGUUACCUGCCCAGGAAGCCCCGGCUAACUCCGUGCCAGCAGCCGCGGUAAUAC